CCUACGGGGGGCAGCAGUGAGGAAUAUUGGUCAAUGGACGGAAGUCUGAACCAGCCAUGCCGCGUGCAGGAAGACGGCUCUAUGAGUUGUAAACUGCUUUUGUACAAGGGUAAACCUGAAUACGUGUAUUCAGCUGAAAGUACUUUACGAAUAAGGAUCGGCUAACUCCGUGCGAGCAGCCGCGGUAAUACGGAGGAUCCAAGCGUUAUCCGGAUUUAUUGGGUUUAAAGGGUGCGUAGGCGGGUUGAUAAGUUAGAGGUGAAAUGUUCGAGCUUAACUCGGGAACUGCCUCUAAUACUGUUGGUCUAGAGAGUAGAUGCGGUAGGCGGAAUGUAUGGUGUAGCGGUGAAAUGCUUAGAGAUCAUACAGAACACCGAUUGCGAAGGCAGCUUACCAAUCUAUAUCUGACGUUGAGGCACGAAAGCGUGGGGAGCAAACAGGAUUAGAUACCCCAGUAGUC
rnacentral:rRNA from 1 species